rnacentral:siRNA from 1 species
UACAUAUUGUUCUUGGGGCUUGGA